GCGCCCGCGACGUUCGGACGUGUCAGACGAUAGAGAGAAGAGAGAGAUCUGUCAUCCGUGCGCGGUGAAUCUCUCCGGGUGAUUUUUUUUUUUUCCGGAUCGGAACGCGACGAAGUAGCGACUAAGUAAAAUAAAAACGGGCGUCGCGUGCAGACGGAAGAACGUGAACAAAGACACCGGACGUGUCGUGUGAGUAUCUAUUUACUGCAGUAGUGCGUCGAAUGUGAGCGCGAGAUUCCGCGACGCGCGAAGACAAAGAUAACAAAAAACAAAGGUAGAGAGAGACCACAACACGCAUCGAUAUUAUUUUUUAUGUGUAAUUCGUUAUCUUUUCGUUCGUAUAUUGAAAACGCCGCGUGAUAUACGUUGUCUUACCGGGACAACCGGACGAGAGAGUGACCGGACGCAAUAAGAGAAAGAGAGAAGAGAGGAGUGUGAAGACAGUGCACAUAAAGUGGGACUCCCCGUUUUCUCUCUUUCUUUCUCACACUCUCUUUCUCUCUCUCUUGGAGAUUCGUAAUCAGUCGCGCGCGAGUCUCGUAUUACCCGUGGCGCGGAGCCGAAGAUCGCCCCUCAAAGGUCUUCCUUCUUUGUGACGCGUGAACUUAGCGAGCCAAUCCUGCCGUCGCCGCCACCGUGUGACAAACAAUCGCCGCUCGUGCGACAACGUUCGUGACACAUACAUUGAAGAAUUAUACGAAGAAUAUGUACGUUGUAUGAGACACGUUCCUUCUCCUCGCCCCCGCGUCAGUCGGUCGCACGCGUAACGGUGUCUCGUCGGAGCGUAUCUAGCGUGAGGAAACGCGAGGAGCAUGAAGUUGUUCGCGAAAUAGCGACGUUCGGAAAUAGGGGGAAGAGAAGAGGGAGAAAGAAAAAGAGACUCCGCUCUGUGUGUUUCGCGCGACCGGACGACGCAACGCGCGCGAGACGUGACACGACGCGACGCGAUUCGACCCGACGUUCCCUUUUCGGUUUUCAUCGGCCGGCGUGUGGAGAGUCUCUCGCAGAGUGAGUGAGAAAGAGAGAAAGAGAGAGAGAAAGAGAGAGCGGAGCCAGCGGUCGUCCGUCCGGCGAUGCCCGACAACGAGCCCUCGUGAAAUCGCGGAAGGUGACACGGCGCGUUUGUGCGUUGCAGGAGUAAACGGCCCGACGACCUCGCGGAAGCAAGGAGAGUGGGAAGAGAGAACCCACCGACGAGUGUGCCGCUACGAGUUCUGCUGAACAAAGUGAACCCUCCCCGAGUGAACCAAGGAUCACAACCGAUCUCACCAUCGAUCUUGCUGCGUCACUGGAUAUGUCGCGAUGGGGUUCGAGAUAGAAAAUAGGUGCGAUGGAGUCUCGUGGAGUCGGCUUCUACUAUGAGUUGAGGCUUCGUAAUUAAUCAGGACUGGCAUGGAGAAGGAGAACUCCGCAUCGGGCGGAGGCGGCGGAGGCGGCG